UGUCCUCAUUUUUUAAGUCGCUUUGGAUAAAAGCGUCUGCUAAAUGACUAAAA
rfam:Danio rerio chromosome 2, GRCz11 reference primary assembly.